AAAAAAGAUUCGACCUUUCUCUUCUUCUUCUUCCUUCGUCUUCUUAGAUUUCUCAGAAACCCUAAAACUGCAAAUUCAACCUUCGAUUUCACCGUUCUGCUGCUAUUUUUAGUUGUUCGGUGAUGGAAUCUUAGGCUCUGCUUCUUGUCGAUUGUAAUUCCCGAAUUGGGGAUUUAGCUCUCAUCUGAGAUUGAAGAACAAAAAAAAAAUUGGUACUUUUUGGUUUUGAUGGCUUCAGAUCGUGGUUCAGCCGCUGCUGCUGGUAAGCCCUAUUGGAUGAAACAUGCGGAAGAUGCGAAAAUCAAAGACGAAGGUGAGAAAGACGCUGCGGCGAAAGCAGCCUUUGAAGCUACAUUCAGAGGUGUAGACCAAACCACACAUUUGAUUGAAGCUGUUGCACCGUCUUCCGUGGUACAUCAGGAAUCUGAUAGUGAUUCGGAUGAUGAUGAUGAAUCUGAUUACUUGUCGAGGAAACCAAUUGGUCCUGUGGAUCCUAGCAAGUCCACAGCUUCUGGUGCUGGGGUUGGUGGUGGAACGGCUUGUGUGCCUUGUACAUUUGUUGUUGUCACAAAGGAUUCAGAUGGAAGGAAGGUUCCUAAUGGUGGAGCUUUGAUUAGAGUUAAAGUGUCUCCUGGUGUUGGUGUUGGUGGUACUGAUCAACAAGGAGUGGUUAAAGAUGUUGGAGAUGGGAGUUAUGCUGUUACUUAUGUUGUGCCUAAGAGAGGAAACUAUAUGGUUAAUAUUGAAUGCAAUGGGAGUGCCAUCAUGGGAAGUCCCUUUCCUGUCUUCUUUAGCCAAGGGUCUUCUUCCACUGGACUGAUGGGUUCUGCUCCAGCUUCAUACUCGAAUCUUAUAAAUCAAACCAUGCCAAACAUGCCAAAUUACACAGGUUCUGUUUCGGGUGCUUUCCCGGGGUUGUUGGGAAUGGUUCCAGGCAUUUCCUCUGGUCCUUCAGGUGGUGCUAUUUUGCCUGGAGUUGGAGCUUCCCUUGGGGAAGUUGACGAUGGAGAUGCAAAUUCAGAUUCUAGUCCGCUGGAAAGGAACAGUGAAGGUCUUUUAUCGACACUGGAUUCGAUGUCAUCUCAGGAUGUGGAGAAGUCAAAGAGAAUCAACCAUCUAGCAGGUCAGUGGAAAUAUGGAAUGCGAAUGAUGAUGAGAAGAUUAAGAGAUUUGUUCAAUUCCUGUUAGAAAAAGAUUAGAGCUCUACCACACAUAUCUUGUCUGAACUUUAAAAAUCAGAUGGAGGAGAAAAGGAUGAUUUUGGAGUCAUAGGAAGAAGAUCUGGAGUCUUUACGUAAAAGGUUCAAAAUGCUGCAGGGCUGCAGCGAACCCGUGAACUCCAUUCCAAUGAAUCCUCCCAGAAGUAUACCAAGAACCAUCCACAACUUAACGUAUCCGGGAGAGUUUCUGCGGUUUUUUCGUUUAGAUCUCCUUAAUGUUGUUCUUGGUUUUGUCGUCAGCAACUCUUUGUUGUAUUACUUUGGCAUUUUCUGCCACAGUCCGUCGAUGGAGCUUGCUGCUGCUUAUGGAAGAAUAAAAAAUUUUAAUACUCGACAUAGAGAUGCCAAACUUGUUUUUGUCCUAUAACUAACUUCUGCUGGUCCAAUUUACCUUCUAAUGUAUGUCAACAUGUUUAUCCGCAUUGUGUAACUUUUUUGCCUCUA